UACGAAGGGGGCUAGCGUUGCUCGGAAUCACUGGGCGUAAAGGGUGCGUAGGCGGGUCUUUAAGUCAGGGGGGAAAUCCUGGAGCUCAACUCCAGAACUGCCUUUGAUACUGAAGAUCUUGAGUUCGGGAGAGGUGAGUGGAACUGCGAGUGUAGAGGUGAAAUUCGUAGAUAUUCGCAAGAACACCAGUGGCGAAGGCGGCUCACUGGCCCGAUACUGACGCUGAGGCCCGAAAGCGUGGGGAGCAAACGGG
rnacentral:rRNA from 1 species